rnacentral:rRNA from 1 species
UACGUAGGUGGCAAGCGUUGUCCGGAAUUACUGGGCGUAAAGCGUGCGUAGUCGGUUAUUUAAGUCGGAUGUGAAAUCCCCGGGCUCAACCUGGGAAUUGCAUUCGAUACUGGAUAGCUAGAGUUCGGCAGAGGGAAGUGGAAUUUCGGGUGUAGCGGUGAAAUGCGUAGAUAUCCGAAGGAACAUCAGUGGCGAAAGCGACUUCCUGGACCAGAACUGACGAUCAGGCACGAAAGCGUGGGGAGCAAACAGG